UUCUUGGCUUAAAAAACAAAAAUAAGCUUGAACCGCUGGUACAAAAAGUGAUUGCGGAGCAGCUCAAUGUUCGCCAGCUUGAGCAGCUGAUUCAGCAGUUGAAUCAGAAUGUUCCACGUGAAACAAAGAAAAAAGAACCUGUGAAAGAUGCGGUUCUAAAAGAACGAGAAUCCUAUCUCCAAAAUUAUUUUGGAACAACAGUUAAUAUUAAAAGACAGAAGAAAAAAGGCAAAAUCGAAAUUGAAUUUUUCUCUAAUGAAGACCUUGACCGGAUUUUAGAGCUUUUGUCUGAACGAGAAUCAUAAAUGAAAAAACCAUCUUUCAAACGAAGAUGGUUUUUGUUUUAUAUGCGCCCAGUGAGCCUUUGCAGCGGGUUAAUGCGUUCUUGCCUCCACUCUGUCCGAUCUGUUAAACUCAAACCUUCCGCUAGAACAUUUGCCAUAUUCAUGACCAAGUUGAGUCUAGUAUUUUGCAAUACAAAAUAUUCCAUAAACCCGCUAACAUUCACGAUUCCGUUAAUAUGAAGAUCUCCCACUUCAGGAAGGUCUUUUUGUACACCGGCUCCGGGCUUUAAUGGCCCGUCCCCGAUUUGAAAUGAACCCACACUCUUAACGCGGCCUAAGCAUGCAUCGACUGCUAUAACAAAUGGGUUUUUAUGUAAUUUAUGAAUGUCAUUGAUUUUAUCCUUCAUGUUCACAGCAUGGACGGGGUCAGAUAAGGUUCCGUAGACAUGGAAUCUGGUGAGCUGCAUCUGUUUGAGUUUCAUUCCUACGAGCGGGCCCAAUGAAUCACCGGUUGAACGGUCUGUUCCGAUACAAACCACAACAAUUGGUUUGCCGGCAGCUUUACGUAAGGAUGAAGAAAGGAUGGUUUGGAUUUGUUUUGCCGCUGCAGCAUCUGUAUGUGAAACAUAUUGCUUUACUCGUUCCUGAGAGGAAAAAAGCCCGCCUUUUCGAUUCAUGGGUUUCACUUCCUUGUUAUAGUAGGUAACAGAAUUGCUAUGGUGUGUGUUUCGUUAUGUAAGGUUGUUUACAGUAUAUCCAGCAGUACGGUUUUUUAUGCUUUGUGUAUGGCACCGGAGAUUUUAAAAAAGUAGAGGGCAUGAUAUGAAUGGUUAGUGGGCGAUUACAAGUAUUGUCCCUCAUUGCCUCGAUCAUGAUCAAGCAAUUGUCUGCUUAUGAAACACUUUAUAGAUAGGAAUGGUUAAUGAGGUUCAUUCCUUCAUUCCACUGCAAAAUGAUAUAUUUUUAGACUGCCUCCAUUAGCAGUCUUUUUUUUAUGUGUAUUUCGUAUGAUAAUUUCACCUUGUGUUCAAAUGUCUAUGAAAAUAUGGCAUGUUUGCUUUCCUUUAUUUAUAUAGUAACAAUAACGGGAACAAGCUGAACUUUGUCUAUGAGGUGAUAGUGUUGUGGAGAGCCGGAAUGAAGUGGAUGCUGCUCAUAUUAGGGAGCCUGAUUGGGGCCGGAUAUGCGAGCGGUCAGGAGAUAUGGCAGUUUUUUGGGGCGGAAAGCGGACUUGCUAUUGUGCUGUUUACAAUUAUGUUCAUUUUCUCG
rnacentral:rRNA from 1 species